rnacentral:rRNA from 1 species
AGAACGAACGCUGGCGGCGCGUUUAAGCAUGCAAGUCGAGCGGCAAGGGCCUUCGGGCCCCUAGAGCGGCGGACGGGGUGAGUAACACGUGGACAAUCUGCCCCCCGGCCCGGGAUAGCCCAGGGAAACCUGGAUUAAUACCGGAUGAGACGGGACCCGCGAUGGCGGGACCCGGGAAAGGCGCUGCGGCGCCGCCGGGGGAUGAGUCUGCGUCCCAUUAGCUAGACGGCGGGGUAACGGCCCACCGUGGCGACGAUGGGUAGCCGGCCUGAGAGGGUGGACGGCCACAUUGGAACUGAGACACGGUCCAGACUCCUACGGGAGGCAGCAGCUAAGAAUCUUCCGCAAUGGGCGAAAGCCUGACGGAGCCGACGCCGCGUGAACGAAGAAGGCCGUGAGGUUGUAAAGUUCUUUUCGGGAGGGGGAACAACCGUGGCAGGGAAUGGCCGCGGGAUGACGUGAAUCCCGGAAUAAGCCCCGGCUAACUACGUGCCAGCCGCCGC